UAAGGAAUAUUGGUCAAUGGGCGGAAGCCUGAACCAGCCAUGCCGCGUGCAGGAAGACGGCCCUACGGGUUGUAAACUGCUUUUGCAGGGGAAUAAACCUCUCUACGUGUAGAGAGCUGAAUGUACUCUGAGAAUAAGGAUCGGCUAACUCCGUGCCAGCAGCCGCGGUAAUACGGAGGAUCCAAGCGUUAUCCGGAUUUAUUGGGUUUAAAGGGUGCGUAGGUGGCCUAUUAAGUCAGGGGUGAAAGACGGUAGCUUAACUAUCGCAGUGCCUUUGAUACUGAUGGGCUUGAAUACACUAGAGGUAGGCGGAAUGUGACAAGUAGCGGUGAAAUGCAUAGAUAUGUCACAGAACACCAAUUGCGAAGGCAGCUUACUAUGGUGUUAUUGACACUGAGGCACGAAAGCGUGGGGAUCAAACAGGAUUAGAUACCCCGGUAGUCC
rnacentral:rRNA from 1 species